rnacentral:rRNA from 1 species
UACGGAGGGGGCUAGCGUUGUUCGGAAUUACUGGGCGUAAAGCGCACGUAGGCGGCUUUGCAAGUCAGAGGUGAAAGCCCGGGGCUCAACCCCGGAAUUGCCUUUGAGACUGCAUCGCUAGAAUUGUGGAGAGGUGAGUGGAAUUCCGAGUGUAGAGGUGAAAUUCGUAGAUAUUCGGAAGAACACCAGUGGCGAAGGCGACUCACUGGACCGGUUCUGACGCUGAGGCGCGAAAGCGUGGGGAGCAAACGGG